UACGGGGGGGGCAAGCGUUGUUCGGAAUUACUGGGCGUAAAGGGCUCGUAGGCGGCCAACUAAGUCAGAUGUGAAAUCCCCAGGCUUAACCUGGGAACUGCAUCUGAUACUGGAUGGCUUGAAUCCGGGAGAGGGAUGCAGAAUUCCAGGUGUAGCGGUGAAAUGCGUAGAUAUCUGGAGGAACACCGGUGGCGAAGGCGGCAUCCUGGACCGGCAUUGACGCUGAGGCGCGAAAGCCAGGGGAGCAAACGGG
rnacentral:rRNA from 1 species